rnacentral:rRNA from 1 species
GACGAACGCUGGCGGCGUGCUUAACACAUGCAAGUCGAACGGAAAGGCCCUGCUUUUGUGGGGUGCUCGAGUGGCGAACGGGUGAGUAACACGUGAGUAACCUGCCCUUGACUUUGGGAUAACUUCGGGAAACUGGGGCUAAUACCGGAUAGGAGCUCCUGCUGCAUGGUGGGGGUUGGAAAGUUUCGGCGGUUGGGGAUGGACUCGCGGCUUAUCAGCUUGUUGGUGGGGUAGUGGCUUACCAAGGCUUUGACGGGUAGCCGGCCUGAGAGGGUGACCGGCCACAUUGGGACUGAGAUACCGCCCAGACUCCUACGGGAGGCAGCAGUGGGGAAUAUUGCACAAUGGGCGGAAGCCUGAUGCAGCAACGCCGCGUGCGGGAUAACGGCCUUCGGGUUGUAAACCGCUUUCGCCUGUGACGAAGCGUGAGUGACGGUAAUGGGUAAAGAAGCACCGGCUAACUACGUG